GUUUGUGUGAAAAGCAUUUUUUGAAAGUAUAAUUAUAUUUUUUAUAUAACUUAAAAGUUAUUUGUCGAUUAGCAUAUUAAUGUAAAUAAUGUCAAGGUUAAAUAAGUUCAAUACAAAAACUGAACCAUAUUAAUAUUGUGUUAAACAAAAAAAAAAGUGUACUAUAAACUUCUCUCUAGACGUUAAUUACUCGAUGGCUUUUAUGUAUUAUUUUAUUUUUAAAUAAUUCAUCCAAGUUUUAUUUUUAAAUAAUUCAUCCAAUAAAGAAUUUGAUAUAUUGAAUAUCGUAGUACCGGAUGUAAAUAGCCUGAAUCAUUGUUAAAAAGUACUAAGUAUUGUAAAUUAUUACAAACGAUAGUUAAACAUUGUGAAGGGUCUGCCUGACAUGGCCAACGUUUUAUGUUCAAAUAAGUGGCACAGCAGAAACAAUGGAAGAGGCAGAGGAAAAAUUAAUAAGAUUAAAAAGAACCCCUAUUCUUCUCUACCAAUAAUGAGUAGUCUGCUAAAGCAAAAGAUUGAUUAAAAAUAGAUAAUAUAUUUAGCCAAAUAGCUUUAGAGUUAACUGACGAAUCCACUGAAAUUGCAGGUAAUAUUUAUUAUUUAAAAUGUAAAUAUUGUUGAUUAAUUUCUAAUAUUUUUUUUACAAGGUAUAUAUAUUAAUUGAUAUAAAUUUAUUUUUAAUCAUUAAUUUUUGAGCUGAAAUUUUAUUUCAAAUUUUUUCAUUCCACUAGAACCUAAGAAAUAAAAGCCAAAAAAAUGUAACCAAAAAAUAGUGAAGAAACAAGCCUAAAAACAUAGUCUCGAAUGGUCAUCUACAUCAAUAGCGUCUUUGAUAUCUUCAUCACCACCGUCAUCAUUAUGUAAACCUAUAGAAAUAAAUAAUGAAACUAAAUAAAACGAAUUAAUGACAGUACUAACUAUAUUGUUGACUCAAAAAAAAAGGAAAAAAUUAGUUCAUAAUCUACACCAUACCACCUUGAUCAUCUUCAUCAUCACCAUCAACUAAAAGUAGAAAAAUAAGAAAAAUUCACUCUAAUUUGAAGGACAUAAAUAUGCGUAUGGAAAUAGCACAUGAAGACAGUACAUUAGCAACAAUUGCUGAUAAUCCCUUAUCAUCAUCAUAAAUCUGAAACAGAAGCUGAAAUGAAUAUAUUAGCAGCUAGAUCAUCAUCAACAAAAAAUACUGUAUCCAGUGAUUCUUUGCUGGAAUGUAUCAAACAUAAUUAUAACAGUCUAUCAAAACAAUUAGCGAAUUUAAAAGGCCAUAUCUGCUGAUGUUCCCAAAUCCUGUCUGAAAUAAAAAAAUAACAGUACUCAGCUGUUAGAUUUCAGUUUAUUAACAGAUCCUGAAGGAAAUCCAGUGGUCCAAAAAUUAGAAUUUAAGCUAUCAACAAUGGAAGAUAUUAUUUUGAUAAAUUCAAUGAAAAAUUGAAAGGCGAAAAAUAUAAAAAUAAAAUGGUAAGUUUUUAAUAAACUAUAUUCUUAUAUACAAAUAUAUGAAAGAUCUAAUAUAGUUGCUCUAUCUGACAAUAUUGAAAUUGUCAUAUUUGAUAAAAUGCUAAUCAUAAUAAUUAAUUAAUCAUACAAAUAAUUAUAAUAAAUUUUCUUUUCCAGAAUAAACGUAUAUACUUUUCUCUUGAUGGAAAAAAUACUUUUACCCGUAAUAUGGGAAAUAUUAUUCGUGUUUAUAUAUCAAGAGAUGUCAUAUGUAGCAGUUAAAGCAACUUAAAAAAAAAAGUUUUCAAAGAUACGACUUUUUCACUUCUAUAAAAAGUAUGUUAAUCAUUAUAUAGUGCAGAAUUACUAUCAUUGAUACCUAAUUAAUUAUUUCUUAAUUAUAUGUUAUUAUUUUAUACCUAAUAAUAAUUAUUUUUUACUAUUACUAAUUUAAUUACCUACAUGAUUAAUUUAAAUUUUGAUUCGAAAAGAAUCAAGAAAGUAUUUUCGAUAAUAAAUUCCAUCAAGCAUUGUCUGCAGUAUUGAAUAAUGCUAAUAUAAUAAUAAAGAUUGGGAUGGGUACAGGGUAUCCAGGAUCAAAAACUACCAUCUAAUGAAGAUAAAUAAAAACAACUAUUUUUUUUUGCUGUGUAAAAUAUUUUGCCAAGCAAACAAAAAGAAAAAUUAAUUCAUAAUAUUUAAUAACAAUCAUUAUUAUUAUUAACUAUAACAUAAAAAUAAUUGAUAUUUAAAGUAAAAACAAAAAUAAAUAAUACAUUUGAAAAAUAAAUGGAAAUAAAUAUGUUUUUUUUUUCAAUCGCAUAAGUUUUAUUUCUGUUUAAGUGCACAAUAAAGUGUAUUGUUAUGUUAUGUUAAGUUAAAUAUAUAUAAUAUGUUAUUUUAAAUAUACAUAGUAUGUUAAGUAACAUAAUAUCAUUUCUUGUUUUUUUUUGACGUGACGUCUAAUAAAUCGAUUAACGCCGGCUUCGUUACGCUCAUAUGUAUGCUUGUGCCGCAUCUAUCUGAUCGGCCUAUGCAUCCGAGGAGAUGUUUUGUUAUGACGGUUGUCACGUUUAACUAUCGUCUGUAAACCAACUUUGCAGACAACCAAGUUUUUUAAUAAACAAUUUUGUCAAGACUGUACAUUCGUGUUUUAUUUAAAAGGACCGCACUUUUUUUUUUUUGAUAUCGCAGGGUAACCCAUUUACGGGUGAUAUCCAGGAUGCCAAGGUAGGCAUUCUUAGACCGUAUGUCGGCUUAGUACUUGGGGGUGCACUACCGACCAAAACCCCUGCGGGAGCCUUCAGCCGCUUUAAUUGGAGGGUCCCGGAUCUGCAGGCAACAGGAUCCCUCCAGCGACAGGCUGGCCUCGGCGAAAAGACCAGACUUCUCCAUGGGACUGUCCGGCUCACCUCUGAACAAUCCCGACGACGCCAUGUCUAGCAGGACCGGGUUCCCAUCCCGGCCCGACAUGGGUACAGGGGCGUUACUGGAAACGCAUUAAGUAGCGCCUCCUACGCACCCCCGUUCGUCGCCUGCGGACGGAGGCCUCGUCGGCGGCCCCCUCUCUCAUCCGCUCGUCGUUCUCCUUCUGGGACAUUACUGUCUCGCAGAAGGAGACCAUCGCCUUCCAGGACUCGUCGUCGCCGAGCAUCGCGGUAAAAGAACCGCAUUGGGCAUACUCGAUUUGGAUCAAGCAACCAAGGACCGGACCGUGCAUGCCUGAU
rnacentral:misc_RNA from 1 species